rnacentral:tRNA from 15 species
GUGGACCGAGCGGACUUCAAAUUCGGUGGGGAU